UAACGCGAAGAACCUUACCAAGGCUUGACAUACACCGGAAACGGCCAGAGAUGGUCGCCCCCUUGUGGUCGGUGUACAGGUGGUGCAUGGUUGUCGUCAGCUCGUGUCGUGAGAUGCUGGGUUAAGUCCCGCAACGAGCGCAACCCUCGUUCUAUGUUGCCAGCACGUUAUGGCGGGGACUCAUAGGAGACUGCCGGGGUCAACUCGGAGGAAGGUGGGGAUGACGUCAAAUCAUCAUGCCCCUUAUGUCUUGGGCUUCACGCAUGCUACAAUGGCCGGUACAAAGGGCUGCGAUACCGUAAGGUGGAGCGAAUCCCAAAAAGCCGGUCUCAGUUCGGAUUGAGGUCUGCAACUCGACCUCAUGAAGUCGGAGUCGCUAGUAAUCGCAGAUCAGCA
rnacentral:rRNA from 1 species